rnacentral:RNase_P_RNA from 1 species
CAAGGCAAUCGGUUUGUCGCGCUGCUUAAUUGCGGUGAGGAAAGUCCGGGCAACACAGGGUACCACACCACUUGAAAGGGUGGGCAAUUAACAGAAAUGUUGGUUGACAGAUAGGGUCGCAGAGAAUAACUACCUCAAAGACGGAUGAAUUCCGUGUAAGGGGAAAAGGUGAAAACGUGGGGUAAGAGCCUACGCAUGACAGCAGUAAUGUUGGCAUGGGAUAAACCUUGUGGGUUGUAAGACCAAAUAUACCAUGGGAUGAGGGCGACCCGUCCGAUUUUAAAGCUUGCUUUAAUACCAUGGAGGGUAGGUUGCAAUAGAUAAAUGACAAGCACCUUGAUGCAAAUCAAGGAACAGAACCCGGCUUAUAGAUUGCCUUAUUUU